rnacentral:rRNA from 1 species
GGAUUGACACAUCGGUCGUGCCUUAAGGGGUAUGAACUGGCGUAGCCAAUUCCUCGUCUUCUGGUGAAUUGUGAUGCCUCUUUAACUGGGUGUUUCAAUGAACUAGGACUUUUACUUUGAAAAAAUUAGAGUGUUUAAAGCAGGCAUUAUUUGCUUGAAUACAUUAGCAUGGAAUAAUAAAAUAGGACGAUGAUUCUAUUUUGUUGGUUUCUAGGAUCACUGUA